UUGAUGAAACAGUUCAAACAGUUCUACGAACAUUCGAGGUACUGUCACCAUAUCCUGGUAAGGUUUUUAAAUGGUUCAAAAACUAUGGUAAAACAAUAUUACAACUCUGCGCAAAAUGUUCACUAUUGUGAAUGUUGUUCAUAUAUAUUUUUUUACAGUGCAUAAUUUAGCCAACUAUAAGAUAAAUCAAUUCAACCAUUGUGGCUACUAUCGGUCUGCACCUCAUGUUUUCAACUGUCACUUAGCGAUGUAUUUCUUCGGGAAUAUUUUGUGAAGAUUUAUUUCGAGUUGCAUUUGCACGAAAAACCAACACCGAGAACGACACUGAAUUGGUAUCCUGGCAAAAGAUGUUGUUCCGACGGCACCUCGCGGCUAGAUUGAGAAGAGUAAUCACCCCACGGAUGCUGUUCAUUCCGGUGGAAAACGGCAGCGAAUUUAUUGAUGAAAGCAAAGCAGAUAACGUCUUCCCGGUAAUGAGCUGAAUUAUUCUACACUUCAAGGCAAUGAGAUCGAAUUUCUACCCAUCAGCAUGCUGCCAAACACAACAACGGAAUACGAAUAAUCCGCUCGCUAUUAACCACUCAACGAAAGGACACCAGCACGGUUCCUACUUAGCUUUCGACCUCAACCAAUAUUCCCGAAGCUUCUCCGCCACAUCAGAAUGCUUUUCCUGAAAACGGCCGAAGUGAUCCUAUACAAAUUCAUUACAAUAUGUUCAAACAACUGCUUCAGGAUUAAAUAAUUUGAAACAUA